rnacentral:rRNA from 1 species
CAUAUGGAUUCCUACGGGAGGCAGCAGCGGGGAAUUUUGGACAAUGGGGGCAACCCUGAUCCAGCCAUGCCGCGUGAGUGAAGAAGGCCUUCGGGUUGUAAAGCUCUUUCGGCGGGGAAGAAAUCGCAUGGGUUAAUACCCUGUGUGGAUGACGGUACCCGAAUAAGAAGCACCGGCUAACUACGUGCCAGCAGCCGCGGUAAUACAUAGGGUGCGAGCGUUAAUCGGAAUUACUGGGCGUAAAGCGUGCGCAGGCGGUUUUGUAAGUCAGAUGUGAAAUCCCCGGGCUCAACCUGGGAACUGCAUUUGAGACUGCAAGGCUAGAGUGUGGCAGAGGGGGGUGGAAUUCCACGUGUAGCAGUGAAAUGCGUGGAGAUGUGGAGGAACACCGAUGGCGAAGGCAACCCCCUGGGCCAAUACUGACGCUCAUGCACGAAAGCGUGGGGAGCAAACAGGAUUAGAUACCCUGGUAGUCCACGCCCUAAACGAUGUCAACUAGGUGUUGGAAGGGUUAAACCUUUUAGUGCCGUAGCUAACGCGUGAAGUUGACCGCCUGGGGAGUACGGCCGCAAGGCUAAAACUCAAAGGAAUUGACGGGGACCCGCACAAGCGGUGGAUGAUGUGGAUUAAUUCGAUGCAACGCGAAAAACCUUACCUACCCUUGACAUGUCAGGAAUCCCGGAGAGAUUUGGGAGUGCUCGAAAGAGAGCCUGAACACAGGUGCUGCAUGGCUGUCGUCAGCUCGUGUCGUGAGAUGUUGGGUUAAGUCCCGCAACGAGCGCAACCCUUGUCAUUAAUUGCCAUCAUUUAGUUGGGCACUUUAAUGAAACUGCCGGUGACAAACCGGAGGAAGGUGGGGAUGACGUCAAGUCCUCAUGGCCCUUAUGGGUAGGGCUUCACACGUCAUACAAUGGUCGGUCCAGAGGGUUGCCAACCCGCGAGGGGGAGCUAAUCUCAGAAAGCCGAUCGUAGUCCGGAUUGCAGUCUGCAACUCGACUGCAUGAAGUCGGAAUCGCUAGUAAUCGCGGAUCAGCAUGUCGCGGUGAAUACGUUCCCGGGCCUUGUACACACCGCC